GUAAAAUGUGAAGAGUCAAAAAUUAGUUUUAUGGUUCAAUAAAAUCAAAAUAAAUAAUUGCCAUUCAUUAUAAAUAAAUUUCUAUCAAAAAUAAGGCUCAAAGAACUUUUUAUAUUAUUCAUAUCAACAAUAACAACGUACAUACAUGUUGGCGUAUGCAUACACAACGUCAGAGUGGGCGUGUCACGAUCAAAAUUGACAACAUUGAAAAUAAAACUAAUAAUUUUAACCAAUCAGAAGACAGUAAAAACACCAAAUUUAUUUAUUUUGCUUUGAACGGGUGUAAGUAAAAGCUUUUCGUUACGAAAAUAGUUUACACAUGUUCCUGUAAAUAAAAAAAAGUAAAAAAAAACUUGUUUCUUAAUUACAAAACCAUAUACAUGUACUUGCAGAUAAGUAAUCUUUGUAAAUUGUGUGUAGGUAGGGAUAUAAGAAACUUUUCAACUAUGUUAUCUGUAUAUACUGUUUUAUUCAUAUUAAU
rnacentral:lncRNA from 1 species